GAUGAACGCUAGCGGCAGGCCUAAUACAUGCAAGUCGAGGGGCAGCAUAGUAGCAAUACUGAUGGCGACCGGCGCACGGGUGCGUAACACGUAUACAAUCUGCCUUCUACAGGGGAAUAGCUCGGAGAAAUCCGGAUUAAUGUCCCAUAAUAGAUUGACUGGCAUCAGUUGAUUUUGAAAGCUCCGGCGGUAGAAGAUGAGUAUGCGCAUGAUUAGCUAGUUGGUGAGGUAACGGCUCACCAAGGCGACGAUCAUUAGGGGAUCUGAGAGGACUACCCCCCACACUGGUACUGAGACACGGACCAGACUCCUACGGGAGGCAGCAGUAAGGAAUAUUGGUCAAUGGAGGCAACUCUGAACCAGCCAUGCCGCGUGCAGGAUGAAGGCGCUAUGCGUCGUAAACUGCUUUUAUACGGGAGAAAACCCGGGUACGUGUACCCGGUUGAUAGUACUGUAAGAAUAAGGAUCGGCUAACUUCGUGCCAGCCGCCGCAGUAACAC
rnacentral:rRNA from 1 species